CAAGUCCAUCGUAAUUCCAUUUCGUACAAUGAUACUUAUCUGACUUGAAACGAAAUAUAAAAAUGUAUUCUUCUUUUCCACUGCAUCUUGCGAUUAUUUUGUGCACGGGAGUGUGACACGUGGGUCCAUUGAUUCUUUUGAAAAAUAGCGAACUCGUUUAUUCGCGCCGCGAUUAUUAUUUUAUUCUCUGAUCGAUCGUGGUUUCUCUGUCGUUUCUUCCUGCAUACUUUGAAGUGAAAUUUCAAGCAUAUCGGAGUUUAAAAUUUUUCGAUAUUUCCAAAAGUUUAAUGUCGCGAAAAUAGAAUGUUUAAAACAGUUUAAUACAACUCGUUUCUUGUUCCUUUCGCAGGACACGAAAUUGUAUAUACAGUGCCAGUAGCUUUAUCUUCUUUUUCUCGUUCCAAUUUAGACAAAUGUGUCUUUGAUACCGAAUGCUGCCAGUAGGGCUACGAAUUAUUGUACUAUGUUUAUAAAGUUCGAUGUGAUCGUUGUGUAGGAUGUAAACAUUGCAUCUAUACAUGCUUCGUUUGAUAUUUGGAAAGAUUCGUGUAAGCGCUGCGUAGAAGAUGAAUGUUUUUGUUGAUGUUUAUAUUUUUUUUGUAGAUCGUUAACUGUGUUCCUGAUUGUGUCACCGGCUCGAGCGUCCCCUCCCCUUCCCCCGUCACUUUGGAAGAUGCACAGCGAAACUAUGGUACAAGAAAUCAUUCAGUCGUCUGAUUUCGUACCGAUAACGUGGAUCGCGUUGUGUCAGGUUAUUGAUCGAUAGCAGGGAUAAUAUAGAAGUAACUGGAAUAUUAAUAUGUGGACGCAACGACAAUUAAUGAUGAAUCCGAUGAAUUUUCAUGGAAAUUUAGUAGUGUUUAAUUUAUUUUAACCAAGACAGCUGUGUAUGAACAAUUCUAUUGCCUUGUUAUACGAGCAUGGGUAACAUUUGAUAUUCAAUUUAUAUUUACUUUAUAACAUAUUUGAUAUAUAUUUCAUAAUGGAUAAUUUCGUAAUUACUUGGAAUACUAAGAUGAAAGUAAAUACGAUUAAAUAAAUCAUUGUUCUAGUUCGAACAUAUGAAAUCAUUCUCCUGUUUCAAACGAAUUUGUAACGAAUUAUUUUACUGUUUCAAUGUAAUUUGCGAUAUAGAAUUCUUGAUAAUUUAACGAUAGCUUCUUGUAGACAGUUUAAAACAUAGAAAUCUUAAUAAAAAUAGCUUUAACUUAUUUUGAUAGGCAUUGUAACAUUCACAUAUCGAAUUAAAAUUAUUUUGGUAUAUUAUGUGAAUUUGCUACAGUUAACGUCAUAUACUUGCAAAUUCGUAGCUUAUAUCUUUUUCAUAGAGGUGGCGCGCUAGUAAACUCAAACACUUCAAAGCAAAGUUUCGUGCGCAUUUCUGUAGUAUUCUUUAAUUAUAUUUAGUUGUGAACUUUUGGAUUCUUGCAAAUAUUUCCGAAUAUUUAUAACACGCGACUACAGUAUCGUAGUGCAGUGUAUAUUUCAUAUUCUAGUAACGAACAUUUACAGUAUAAUUCUUGUAAAUGAUUGCAUUACAUUCACGGUAUUUGUAAACAUUUGUUCAAUAUCGAAAAAUAUCUUAUAAUUUUCAAAUAAUAUUUUUCAUACGUAUUCCAAAUUCUUAAUAACAAUUUUUUAGGUGUACAAAGAAUAGCAGUAUUUUCUAAAUAAACGUUCGAUAGAAAAAAGAAGAAAGAUACCGAAACGAUAUUCGCUUCGUUUACACCCCCUCCUCAGUCCGCCAUUACACAAUUUUAUUUUUAGAGAAUAUUUGGGACCGAGCACAAUGCGGUUUGCAGAGUCAGUGUUUGCUAUGCAAAAGUAUUUUUUAAUACUUCCAAAUCAUGAUAGUUUUGAUGAAAUUCAAUCGAAUAAUCACACACGAAAGUAAUAAAAUUUUAAAAAAGAAAUUUGUACGCUAUAUUAGAGUCUUUAUAUAUAUACUCUUUUUUUCUUUUUUUUUUUUUUUUGAACAUUCGUUUUCGGUAUUAGAAUCAUUGCAUCUCUUAAGAAGAUAAAGCCUAUCCAGGAGCUCAAGAAUACAUACCACUGCUUCGACUUCUUCAUCUUUUUUUGGAAUGUUCUAACAGUGACUCAAAAGCCAAGAAGUAAAUUUUUCGCAACCUCCAUUUCCACCAUUGGCCUUUCAACGGUUCCUGACUGAUGUUAGUCUCCCUGAUGAUAUUCGCUGGGAUACCGCAGCAUCCAUGGUACGUCCUUUGUUUCUCCGUAUCGAACGGUGA